ACUUCCAACAACGGAUCUCUUGGUUCUGGCAUCGAUGAAGAACGCAGCGAAAUGCGAUAAGUAAUGUGAAUUGCAGAAUUCAGUGAACCAUCGAAUCUUUGAACGCACAUUGCGCCCGCCAGCACUCUGGCGGGCAUGCCUGUCCGAGCGUCAUCUC
rnacentral:rRNA from 1 species